UACAUACUCCCUCCAUCCCAAAAAUUUUGUCUUACAUUUAUCUAGAUAUGGAUGUAUCUAACACUAAAAUGUGAAAAGAUACAUUUGUAUGUGGAAAAAUCUAAGACAAGAAUUUUGGGACGGAGGGAGUAUUAC
rfam:Triticum aestivum genome assembly, contig: Triticum_aestivum_CS42_TGACv1_scaffold_327821_4BS